AGGACGAACGCUGGCGGCGUGCCUAAUACAUGCAAGUCGAACGCUUCUUUUUCCACCGGAGCUUGCUCCACCGGAAAAAGAGGAGUGGCGAACGGGUGAGUAACACGUGGGUAACCUGCCCAUCAGAAGGGGAUAACACUUGGAAACAGGUGCUAAUACCGUAUAACAAUCAAAACCGCAUGGUUUUGAUUUGAAAGGCGCUUUCGGGUGUCGCUGAUGGAUGGACCCGCGGUGCAUUAGCUAGUUGGUGAGGUAACGGCUCACCAAGGCCACGAUGCAUAGCCGACCUGAGAGGGUGAUCGGCCACAUUGGGACUGAGACACGGCCCAAACUCCUACGGGAGGCAGCAGUAGGGAAUCUUCGGCAAUGGACGAAAGUCUGACCGAGCAACGCCGCGUGAGUGAAGAAGGUUUUCGGAUCGUAAAACUCUGUUGUUAGAGAAGAACAAGGAUGAGAGUAACUGUUCAUCCCUUGACGGUAUCUAACCAGAAAGCCACGGCUAACUACGUGCCAGCAGCCGCGGUAAUACGUAGGUGGCAAGCGUUGUCCGGAUUUAUUGGGCGUAAAGCGAGCGCAGGCGGUUUCUUAAGUCUGAUGUGAAAGCCCCCGGCUCAACCGGGGAGGGUCAUUGGAAACUGGGAGACUUGAGUGCAGAAGAGGAGAGUGGAAUUCCAUGUGUAGCGGUGAAAUGCGUAGAUAUAUGGAGGAACACCAGUGGCGAAGGCGGCUCUCUGGUCUGUAACUGACGCUGAGGCUCGAAAGCGUGGGGAGCAAACAGGAUUAGAUACCCUGGUAGUCCACGCCGUAAACGAUGAGUGCUAAGUGUUGGAGGGUUUCCGCCCUUCAGUGCUGCAGCUAACGCAUUAAGC
rnacentral:rRNA from 1 species